rnacentral:rRNA from 1 species
CCCGAGUGCCAGCACCUAGUGCUGGCUGUCCCGCUGUCUAAAUAACAGUGGUUAGCAAGGGCCGGGCAAGACCGGUGCCAGCCGCCGCGGUAACACCGGCGGCCCGAGUGGUAACCGUUUUUAUUGGGUUUAAAGGGUCCGUAGCCGGCUUAUUAAGUCUCUUGGGAAAUCUGGCGGCUCAAUCGUCAGGCGUCCAAGAGAUACUGAUAGGCUUGGGACCGGGAGAGGUGGGAGGUACUCCGGGGGUAGGGGUGAAAUCUCGUAAUCCUUGGGGGACCACCGAUGGCGAAGGCAUCCCACCAGAACGGGUCCGACGGAGAGGGACGAAAGCUGGGGGCACGAACCGUAAUAGACACCCGGGUAGUCCCAGCUGUAAACGAUGCUCGCUAGGUGUCAGGUGCGGUGCGACCGCAUCUGGCGCCGCAGUAAAAACUUGAAGCGAGUCACCUGGGAAGUACGGUCGCAAG